rnacentral:rRNA from 1 species
AGCAGCCGCGGUAAUUCCAGCUCCAAUAGCGUAUAUUAAAGUUGCUGCAGUUAAAAAGCUCGUAGUUGAAUUUCGGGACUAAUAUGUUGGUCGUGCCUCGGUACGUACUGAUAUUUUUGGUUUCUCCCUUCUGACGAACCUUGAUGCCAUUAAUUUGGUGUCUUGGGAAAUCAGGACUGUUACUUUGAAAAAAUUAGAGUGUUUAAAGCAGGCUCACGCUUGAAUACAUUAGCAUGGAAUAAUGAAAUAGGACGUUUGAUUCUAUUUUGUUGGUUUCUAGGAUCGACGUAAUGAUUAAUAGGGAUAGUUGGGGGCAUUAGUAUUCAAUUGUCAGAGGUGAAAUUCUUGGAUUUAUUGAAGACUAACUACUGCGAAAGCAUUUGCCAAGGAUGUUUUCAUUAAUCAAGAACGAAAGUUAGGGGAUCGAAGACGAUCAGAUACCGUCGUAGUCUUAACCAUAAACUAUGCCGACUAGGGAUCGGAUGAUGUUAAUUUUUUAAUGACUCAUUCGGCGCCUUACG